rnacentral:rRNA from 1 species
CACGUAGGGCGCAAGCGUUGUCCGGAAUUAUUGGGCGUAAAGAGCUCGUAGGCGGUGUGUCGCGUCGGCCGUGAAAACCUGCAGCUUAACUGUGGGCUUGCGGUCGAUACGGGCAUCACUGGAGUUCGGCAGGGGAGGCUGGAAUUCCUGGUGUAGCGGUGAAAUGCGCAGAUAUCAGGAGGAACACCGGUGGCGAAGGCGGGUCUCUGGGCCGUAACUGACGCUGAGGCGCGAAAGCCAGGGGAGCAAACGGG